GUCUUCAUGGCGCAGUUGGUUUAGCGCGUUGGUCUCAUAAGCCCUUGUUUAUGAUCAGAUGAAAUAUCUGGGCCAUCCAAAGGUCGCGAGUUCGAGUCUCGCUGAGGACA
rfam:Metarhizium anisopliae BRIP 53293 unplaced genomic scaffold Scaffold_25, whole genome shotgun sequence.